rnacentral:tRNA from 1 species
GAAGGUGUAGCUCAGUGGUAGAGUGCACGCUUAGAAUGCAUAAGGUCCUGGGUUCAAUCUCCAGUACCUCCG